rnacentral:tRNA from 16 species
CAGUGGCCGAAUGGUAAGGCAGCUGACUGCAGCCUUUUUGGCCGGCGGUACAAACC